rnacentral:rRNA from 1 species
GAUGAACGCUGGCGGCGUGCCUAAUACAUGCAAGUCGAGCGAACAGACGAGGAGCUUGCUCCUCUGACGUUAGCGGCGGACGGGUGAGUAACACGUGGAUAACCUACCUAUAAGACUGGGAUAACUUCGGGAAACCGGAGCUAAUACCGGAUAAUAUAUUGAACCGCAUGGUUCAAUAGUGAAAGACGGUUUUGCUGUCACUUAUAGAUGGAUCCGCGCCGCAUUAGCUAGUUGGUAAGGUAACGGCUUACCAAGGCAACGAUGCGUAGCCGACCUGAGAGGGUGAUCGGCCACACUGGAACUGAGACACGGUCCAGACUACUACGGGAGGCAGCAGUAGGGAAUCUUCCGCAAUGGGCGAAAGCCUGACGGAGCAACGCCGCGUGAGUGAUGAAGGUCUUCGGAUCGUAAAACUCUGUUAUUAGGGAAGAACAAGUGUGUAAGUAACUAUGCACGUCUUGACGGUACCUAAUCAGAAAGCCACGGCUAACUACGUG